rnacentral:rRNA from 1 species
UGCCAGCCGCCGCGGUAAUACGGAGGGGGUUAGCGUUGUUCGGAAUUACUGGGCGUAAAGCGCACGUAGGCGGACUGGAAAGUUGGGGGUGAAAUCCCAGGGCUCAACCCUGGAACUGCUCUUGAAACUCCAGGUCUAGAAUCCGAUAGAGGUCAGGAGAAUUCCUAGUGUAGAGGUGAAAUUCGCAGAUAUUAGGAGGAAUACCAGUGGCGUAGGCGCCUGACUGGGUCGGUAUUGACGCUGGGGUACGAAAGCGUGGGGAGCAAACAGGAUUAGAUA